GAGUCUGAUGAGUUUCAGACAAAUAGCACUCAAGGUAAAAAAAGUCGAGAAGCGAAUACAACCAUUCAUUGUACAGGGUCAAAACCUUUUGCCCGCUAUAGAGAGGAAAUGUGUGAUCCAGAAACAGGUGAAGUUGUUGAACAAAUUGAAUUCUACAAGUUAACCCACUGCAAAAAUGAUGUUUGGACCUGUCAUACGG